UCGCAUGGACUCAAAGGCAAACCUGGUUUU
rnacentral:piRNA from 1 species